GACGAACGCUGGCGGCAUGCCUAACACAUGCAAGUCGAACGGAACGGUUCGCCUUGAACCCUUCGGGGUGAAAAGCGGACAUGUUUAGUGGCGGACGGGUGAGUAACGCGUGAGCAACCUGGCCUUAAGAGGGGGAUAACAUUGGGAAACCAAUGCUAAUACCGCAUAAGCCCACAGGUGCAAAAGCACUAGGGGGAAAAGGAGUAAUCCACUUAAGGAUGGGCUCGCGUCCCAUUAGCUAGUUGGUAGGGUAAAGGCCUACCAAGGCAACGAUGGGUAGCCGGACUGAGAGGUUGAACGGCCACACUGGGACUGAGACACGGCCCAGACUCCUACGGGAGGCAGCAGUGGGGAAUAUUGGGCAAUGGGCGAAAGCCUGACCCAGCAAUGCCGCGUGAAGGAAGACGGCCUUCGGGUUGUAAACUUCUGUCCUAUGGGAAGAAACAAAUGACGGUACCAUAGGAGGAAGCCCCGGCUAACUACGUGCCAGCAGCCGCAGUAACAC
rnacentral:rRNA from 1 species